GGAGGAGUCGCCUAGUGGUUUAUGGCGCACGCCUGGAAAGCGUGUGUUCGAAAGGACUCGUGGGUUCGAAUCCCACCUCCUCCGCCA
rnacentral:tRNA from 2 species